CCCCGCCCCCGGACCCGUACCAGACCCGAGAGGCGCGGGCAGCAGGAGUGUACGCGGCAUUUUAUUAAACAGGAAGGAGCGAGGUGGGAGAGCGAGCAGGACGCCCCUUCACUCCGCAUGAGAAAGAUGAACCUCGCAAAGGUUAAGUGACUUUCCCAAAGGCACACAGAUGGCGAACGCUCAAACCUGGCCGGACCCAGGGACCCUGAUUCCCGAUCACAAGGCUGGUGCUUGACGCGCCCUCUCUCUUCACACAAUUGCCAGGAAUUUUCCGCAGGCCAUCUUAUCAGGUCACUCUUUGCUCAAAAAACCCCAGAAGCCCCCUGCCUGCCAGCCAGGAGCAGAACUCCUUGGCCUGGCGUUCAGGGCCUUCCACAGUCUCGGUCCUUUUUAGCCUCCGCUGCCACUGACCCCUCCCUGAACUUUGCCUCUCCUGUGCCAGUCUCCCCGUCGACUGGCCCUGGCACCUGGCGUUCCCUUUAGACUCAGAGCGUUUGCACAUUCUGUUCCCUCCGCUUGGAAUGACUGCCUUUCCAUCUGCCCAUUGAAAUGCAUUUGACUUCAGGACAGGGCCAGGGACUCACAGUGCGUUCGUUUUUUUCAUCAGAUAUCCAUUCAUUCAGCCCCUAUUGUGCGUCACGGGGUGAGGGAUCUAGCACUGGAGGAAAACGUGAAGCAAACAAAAUCUCACGGUCAUGAGCUUUGUUAGGGCUGAUUCAAUAAGAAUGGCUCCCGCUCAUUUUUUUUUUUUUUUUUUUACAACGUUGGGCCCUGUACUAAGAAACCGUAAGUAAAUGAACUCAAUUCAAACAACCACAUAAGGCCGAUAUUGUUAUCAUCGUCAUCUGUUUUUCAGAUGAGAAAAAGGAUGCUUGGAGGGGUGGUCACUUGCCUAGGGUCGCACAGUGACAACUAGCCCGUGUACAGAACUGCCAUAUGCCUGCAGUACGGCAGCAAAACUCAUUUAAUCCUUGCAACAGCCAGAUGGAGUAGUUAGCUCUGUUUUACAGAAGGAGAAAACCAAGGAGCAGCAUUGAAGUAAGCGCUCAAGGUCCUGCAGUCGUCACAGGGGAGGAGUGGAGACUUAAACCCAGGCCCUGGGCUGCAGAGCCCACACCUGACCACCACUCCAUUACGGCCCCCUAGUGAGCUGCCUACAGGUCUGUCGACCCCCAUUCUUCAGAGGGGAAAACAGGUCAGUGAGGACCAGGGCCAAGGCCACACCGGAGUGUGACUGGAACCUGGUUCUUUCCACUCCAUGCCCUUUCUAUAUACCAUGUGUUUGUUCACGAGGCUCUCUGACCCCCAGGCCACCUGCCCUGCCCCCGAACUGCACUGAGUUUCUGGUCUGCAGCCCUCUCAGUGUGACCUGUGGCUUUGCUGGUGUCCCUGUUUCUGAUGAACCCCCCUGGCUUUCCCGUGACCAGACUCUAUCAAAUCUGAUUCCCGCUCUCUGCCUGCUUCCUGGUGCUCCGCCGACUACCUCAGGCUGGGCUGGCUUCUGGGGAACAGAGAUGGACACAGCCCUGGCCUCCUGGAGAUGAAAGAGCAGGGCCCUUGGCAUGAAUCAUGGCAGGACUCACCGGACAUCAGGCGGCCUGGGGCUGGGUGGGGCUGCGUGGACUGAAGGGAGGCGCCCUUCUCCCAGGGUUCUCAGACCCAGCCAGGAGCCACAGGGGCCUGGGCCUGGACUUACUGGAGCCCUCUGCUGCUGAGCCUGCCUCACGAUGGCCGCCCUCCUCAGCUGGGUGAAGGCCGCUCUUUUCCUCAGGAGCUCGUUGUAGAGGAACAGGAUCCGCUUCUUCUCUCGCUGGAGCCAGGGAGAGGGGGCCAAUCGCCCGACUCUCCGCCUCGGAAAGACCCCCUCCCUCGCUCUCAUUCCCUCUGAUGCCGGAUCUCAGCAUCACUCACGCAUGUUGCUCGAUUCCACCACCGACUCCGACGACGUGUUCAGGGCCCCGAUGGUUUUCCGGAGAAGCCGGGCGAGCAUGGAGUCUCCACCGACUUUCACCUCCAAUUUGUGACUGCCUGAGGCCAGGGUCACAGUGGGGCAGGGUGCGCGUCAGGAAAGUCAGAGCCGAGGGGACGGGGAGAGGUCAAGGCAGAGAACGGCCUCAGCUGCGCUUUCCCAUCCCUCCCUGUCGCAGACACGAAGGGGGUUGGACGCGGAGAACCCCCCCUCUCCCCCCACCCGUGACCUCUGUCGGGUUGCAGGGCUGAGAGUUGACCCCAGGAAGAGGUGGCAUGAUGGGAAGAAUCGGGGCGGGGCGGCUGCGCAGGGGUGGGAGUUCCGAGGGGGGCGAGUCUCGGGGGACCGCCGCUCACUGCGGAAGGAGUACUGUAGGAAGGAAUGGUGGCGGAUGGCGUCGAAGGCGGAGUAGAGGGACCAGUCCAGCCCACACAGCACCGCCAGCAGCAGCAGAACGGGCAGCGUCUCCAGGAGCUCCGGUAUCUGCCCCAGAGCACCGGGGUGGGGUGGGCACAGAGCCCCCUCUGCCGCCUCUGCCCGCCCCCCCUCGGGUCCGUGCCUCCCCUGCCCGCCUCACCAGGUUCUUCAUUUCCAAGGCCUGGAUGGUGGGGUCGUAGGGGAAGAUGACGGCCUUCUUCUCGGCCUUGCGGAGCGGCAGCAGAGUCCGUUUGCCCUGGGAGAGAAGCCGUAGGAUGAGGGGCUCCGGGGCCCCCUCGUCCUCCCCUCUGCCCUCCUGGAGGGCGAAGCCACACGGGGCACACGGCAGGGUGGGGCUGGGCCCAGUCACCAGCUUCUUCCUGCGUUCGUCGAUCUGACAGAAGUAGGUGCUGAUGUAGAUGUUGUCAAAGCGAAUGUCCCCGUUGUAACUGUCCACAUAGGAAAAGGACCUGCGGACGCGGAUGGCUCCAUCUCGGUUCCCGUUCUCCGCACCCGCUCCCCACCCCGGCCUUCCGUAAGGCACAGUCAUUCAGCCGACCACUGAGCACCAUCUACAUCCCGGGAAGAGACUGUCCUGUCCUCCAGAAGCUCGUGGUCCGGUGCAAGACAGACACCGGAGGGGACAGAUGCGAUGGGGACUCGGCCCGCUGGGAGCGCCAGGCGCGUGCCGGCCUGUGCGUGCACGGGAGAACAUCUCCUGGAGGUUCCUUCAAGCAAAGCUCAUCCCAACCAUCAGGUCCUUCCUCUGACUUCAGUAGAGCGGUGUUUUCUGUGUGUGCUGCAUGCGAGCAUGUGAGUGCACGUGUCACCGUGUGUGUCUCCUAAGGUCCCGCAUCAUACUUCAGUUUCCCAAGGAAAAAAGUUAAUUGUUGACAAUGUGUAUGAAACUGUAAAAUUACAUUAAAUAAACUCUGUAAACAGCACAGGUUCCAGUGCUGUUCUGGGACCUUGUAA